rnacentral:lncRNA from 1 species
AUGGGCCCAAAAUACCCACAAUUCACCCCAAAAAUCACCCCAAAGUCACCCCAAAAAUCACCCCAAAGUCACCCCAAAAAUCACCCCGAAAUCAGCCCAAAAAUCCAAAAAAAUCAACCCAAAAAUCCCCCCAAAAAUCCCCCAGGCACAGGCGCAGUGGGCAGCCGCGCCACGCCUGGAUGGGCCCAAAAUACCCACAAUUCACCCCAAAAAUACCCCGAAAUCAGCCCAAAAAUCACCCCAAAAUACCCCAAAAAAAUCCCCCCAAAAUCCCGAAAAAAUCCCCCCAAAAAUACCCCCAAAAAUCCCAAAAAAUCCCCCCAAAAAUCCCCCGGGCACAGGCGCAGCGGGCAGCCGCGCCACGCCUGGAUGGGCCCAAAAUACCCCAAAUUCACCCCAAAAAUACCCCCAAAAUCACUCCAAAAAUACCCCGAAAUCAGCCCAAAAAUAUCCAAAAAAAUCAACCCAAAAAUCCCCCUAAAAAUCCCCCGGGCACAGGCGCAGCGGGCAGCCGCGCCACGCCUGGAUGGGCCCAAAAUACCCCCAAUUCACCCCAAAAAUCACCCGAAAUCAACCCAAAAAUACCCAAAAAAUACCCCAAAAAAAUCCCCCCAAAAUCCCAAAAAAAUCCGCCCAAAAAUCCCCCCAAAAAUCCCGAAAAAAUCCCUCCAAAAAUCCCCCGGGCACAGGCGCAGCGGGCAGCCGCGCCAGGCCUGCCGGGCCCAAAAUACCCCCAAUUCACCCCAAAAAUACCCCCAAAAUCAGCCCAAAAAUACCCCCCAAAAUACCCCCAAAAACCACCCCAAAAUCCCGAAAAUUUCACACAAAAAAUCCACCCAAAAUCCCUCCAAAAAUCCCACAAAAAUCCAAAAUAUCCCCCCCAAAAUCCCCCAUUCCCACAGACCCCGCCCCAUUCCCACAAGCCCCGCCCAUUCCCACAGACCCCGCCCCGUUUCACGUAGGCCCCGCCCCAUUCCCACAAGCCCCGCCCCUUUUCACCCAGGCCACGCCUCAUUCACACAAGCCCCGCCCAUUCCCGAAGACUCCGCCUCUUUUCACUUGGGCCCCGCCCCAUUCCCACCAGCCCCGCCUAUUCCCACAAGCCCCGCCCCCUCCCCACAGGCCCCGCCCAUUCCCACAAACCCCGCCCAUUCCCACAGGCCCCGCCCCAUUCCCACAGAC